rnacentral:rRNA from 1 species
ACGGGUGAGUAACACGUAGGCAACCUGCCCCUUAGACUGGGAUAACUACCGGAAACGGUAGCUAAUACCGGAUAAUUUCUUUUUUCUCCUGAAGGAAGAAUGAAAGACGGAGCAAUCUGUCACUGAGGGAUGGGCCUGCGGCGCAUUAGCUAGUUGGUGGGGUAACGGCCCACCAAGGCGACGAUGCGUAGCCGACCUGAGAGGGUGAACGGCCACACUGGGACUGAGACACGGCCCAGACUCCUACGGGAGGCAGCAGUAGGGAAUCUUCCGCAAUGGACGAAAGUCUGACGGAGCAACGCCGCGUGAGUGAUGAAGGUUUUCGGAUCGUAAAGCUCUGUUGCCAGGGAAGAACGUCCGGUAGAGUAACUGCUACCGGAGUGACGGUACCUGAGAAGAAAGCCCCGGCUAACUACGUGCCAGCAGCCGCGGUAAUACGUAGGGGGCAAGCGUUGUCCGGAAUUAUUGGGCGUAAAGCGCGCGCAGGCGGUCAUUUAAGUCUGGUGUUUAAACCUUGGGCUCAACCUAAGGUCGCACUGGAAACUGGGUGACUUGAGUACAGAAGAGGAAAGUGGA